rnacentral:tRNA from 4 species
GGAAGAUUAGCUCAGCUGGUUAGAGCGCUGCGUUCACAUCGCAGAGGUCUUGGGUUCGAGUCCCUAAUCUUCCACCA